GGUAUCAAUGAAAUCGAACUCAAUCAAAGUCAAUCUUUUUUUUUGGGUAAUCUUCUUCUUCUUCUUCUUCUUUUUUGAACACAAUCCACUUCAUGUGCCCUUCCACACCCAAUUUUCUAACUCCUCUACACAGAAGAAACACAGCCAUUCCGUUUGGUUCACCGUUUUAAGAGAGUAAUUUUUAUUUUCGACACAGUUUUCAAUAAAUUUCUCUCUCUAUCUUUCUACUCAUUACCACUUAACUCUUAAAAAUAACUUUUUAAACCCUCAACUAAACAAAGUGAGCAUCUCUCUCUGUCUCUCUCUCUCACUCUGAGAGAUGCUUUUGGGAAAUCGACGAUGCUGAUGCUCUUGCCAUUGUCGUUGGGUUUUAGUAUAAUCUUGGAGUACAGCUUCCACUACUUUAUAGAUAAACCCCCACCAGAACAACCUUUUGGAAUUGGAAUACAAUAUUACAGAAGUACUACUACUUAUUCCCACCUCUUCAUUCCCUUUAAUGGCGGCUCUUUCCCCCCAUAUCUCACUAAAACUCUCUCUCUCUCUCUCUCUCUCUCUCUCUCUCUCUGUGGAAAAAAAGUUGGCUAACUACUUUCUGCACGCAGCACCCAUUUGAUUAAACCCCAACACUUCAAACUCGGAAGACUUCCUCGAUCCCCUUGACUUCUUUUAUUUCUCUGAGGUCUCAUCAAUGGUCAAGGGAAAAGAGAGAGAAAAUGGGGAAGGGAGUGAGGGUAUCGAUGAAUAUUGCUACCGUAUGAGCAAAAAUGGUGUCCAAGAUACGGAUUCGCCACCUCAAAAGAUGAGGAUUUCCAAAACUAAUGAGAACUGGCUUGGACUUCCUUCCACAAACAGCAGGGUUAGUGGUCCAUCAAAUGUAGAACCCCAGGAUGCAGAUUACACGUACAUUCCCUCACUGAAUUUGGAAUUACAGAGCCUGAUCUUGGCUCGAAUGCCCCGGUCAGAAUACUGGAAAUUAUGCUUUGUGAACCGGAGGUAUUUAUCUAUUUUGAAGAGUGGCGAGCUAUUCAAGAUUAGGAGAGAGAUCGGAAUCAAGGAACCUUCUCUUUUCUUGGGAGCCUUAGGGGAGAACAGUUGGUGGGAAUUCGAUCACGAAUUCAAGACCAAGAGAAAACUGCCGAUUUUCCAAACAGAUAUUUCUUUCCUUAAUGGAGAUAGAGAGUCGUUUUCUGCAGGAACCCAUCUGCUUGUUUCAGGCAAAGAAUUGGAUGGUCUUGUCGUUUGGAGAUAUGAAUUGGCUAUGAACAGAUGGUAUAAGGGUCCUUCUAUGAUAAGCCCAAGGUGCUUGUUUGCCUCUGCCACAUGUGGCACCUUCGCUUUUAUAGCAGGUGGAAUUGGAAAGGAGCCAAACAGUGAAGUCUACGAUACUGCUGAGAAAUAUAAUCCAGAGAGUAAAUCGUGGGACCCCCUUCCGCGGAUGAAUAAGAGGAGGCAGCUUUGCGCUGGGUGUUACAUGGACGAUAGGUUCUACGUGAUUGGAGGGAGAAACAAGGACGGUGAGCUCAUGUGUGGGGAAUUUUUCGACGAGGUUCAAAACAAAUGGGUACUGAUUCCGGAUAUGUGGAAAGAUGAUCCGGUUCUGAGUAGCCAUUCGCCUCCUCUUGUGGCCAUUGUGAAUAACGCUCUUUACUCGCUUGAAGCUUCAUCCAAUCAGCUGAAGGUAUAUGAGAAGAGUAGUAAUACUUGGAAGCCGUUGGGUUUAGUCCCGGUGAGAGCUGAUAUCAGUAGAGGUUGGAGUGUUGGGUUUAAAUCUUUGGGGGAUGAAUUGCUUGUGAGGGGCUUAGCUGCUUCUGUUUCUGGUGCUUGGAAUCGUGUAGCUUACAGUUGCUGCCCUGAUCCUGAUGCUGGGGAGUUGAAGUGGAACCUUCUUCAUGACAGAAAGAUAAGUCAGGUGACUCAGUUCAUUAUCAACAGUUGUGUCAUGGUAGCUUAAGGGCAGAACUCUUAUCGGGUUGGGUAACUAGAGUACCUGAAUAACAGGAUUGAACAUCAUUGCUGUCUGGUAAGGCAUGGCAUUCGGCCAACGCUCAUGGUUUCAACUUCUUCCCUGUCACCAAGAGCAUUGAGGUGUUGGCCGUUUUCAAAAGAGGACCCGGGGUAAGCUCGAAGAAAUAGAUAUUAGGAAAAAAGAACGAGAACUCGUCAUGAGUUUCCAAUCGUGGUCUGGCAGAAAGUGUCAGCAAUGUUCAGAUAAGGAUAUCAUCAACCCAGGCACCAUGCAUGCUAAAUGCUGUCACUGUAAGGGCAAGAAAGUUCAUCACUUCAGGCUCAUUUUCGAUGGCCGGAGAAACCUCACACUAUCAUCAUCAGAAGUCACGAAAAAUGGAAUGCAAGCUGCUUCUUCACAGAGAGUUCCCAGAGUGGCAAAUGGCUGUGUUUCAAACUUGGUUACUCCACAUCUUUCUUAGAGGAUUUGCCUGGAAGUGAAAAAUUGAUCGGUGUUGCGCAAACAAUGUGAAGGUGAUCGUACGUUCCCCAACAGCAAAAGAAUAUAAUCAUGUCAAGUUCUAAUCUUUUCUUAUUGUUGACAAGGGACUGCGACUAUCGGGCAGCUGUUGCAAUGGUUUGAUCGUUGGGGCCAAAAUUUUGCCCUUUUUUAAAAAAAAAAAAAAUUCGAUGGAUACAAGCUGUUUGUUGAAGUUGUUUCUGCAAAGCUUGAUUUUAUUUGUAUUCAGUUUAGAUCACAUUUUUCUCCUAUAAACAGGGUUCUCCUAUCCUCCGGAUCCGCAGCAACUUCUGCUCCAGUUUUGCAA